GAUGAAGAACGUAGCGAAAUGCGAUAAGUAGUGUGAAUUGCAGAAUUCAGUGAAUCAUCGAAUCUUUGAACGCACAUUGCGCCCCUUGGUAUUCCAUGGGGCAUGCCUGUUCGAGCGUCAUUUGUACCUUCAAGCUCUGCUUGGUGUUGGGUGUUUGUCUCGCCUCUGCGUGUAGACUCGCCUUAAAACAAUUGGCAGCCGGCGUAUUGAUUUCGGAGCGCAGUACAUCCCGCGCUUUGCACUCAUAACGACGACGUCCAAAAGUACAUUUUUACACUCUUGACCUCGGAUCAGGUAGGGAUACCCGCUGAACUUAAGCAUAUCAAUAAGCGGAGGA
rnacentral:misc_RNA from 1 species